AUUGUGCUUGCACAGAUGACGACCGGCGCACGGGUGCGUAACGCGUAUAGAACCUACCUUUUACAGAGGAAUAGCCUUUAGAAAUGAAGAUUAAUGCCUCAUAGUAUUGUAGACUGGCAUCAGUUUAUAGUUAAAGAUUUAUCGGUAAAAGAUGGCUAUGCGUCCUAUUAGUUAGUUGGUAAGGUAACGGCUUACCAAGACAGCGAUAGGUAGGGGUCCUGAGAGGGAGAUCCCCCACACUGGUACUGAGACACGGACCAGACUCCUACGGGAGGCAGCAGUGAGGAAUAUUGGACAAUGGAGGAGACUCUGAUCCAGCCAUGCCGCGUGUAGGAAGAAUGCCCUAUGGGUUGUAAACUACUUUUAUACAGGAAGAAACACUGGUAUGUAUACCAGCUUGACGGUACUGUAAGAAUAAGGACCGGCUAACUCCGUGCCAGCAGCCGCGGUAAUACGGAGGGUCCGAGCGUUAUCCGGAAUCAUUGGGUUUAGAGGGUCCGCAGGCGGUCGAUUAAGUCAG
rnacentral:rRNA from 1 species